CGCGUAGGCCAGUCUCUUGUCCCUCCAGUACUGCUGGAAGUACAUCGUCAAGGUGUAGUCCUGAGGGGAGAAAAACUGCAGCGUGUGAGGUUUUUUUAUGUACUCAACAAUAAAUAGGGGUCGGAGAUGUGCGACUAUACGACAUGAUACGUGUCUACAGCCCGGAGCUCAGGAAGGAUUGUUUUUAAGGAACAAUGGGGAUAUUUAUAGAAUCGUCAAACAGCUCGGAUUCUCUUUGGUCUGCCCCCGGGUGAACAUUCUUCAAGGUCCACCUCUCUCAGCUGUUCUGUGCACGAGACUGGCACUGGCCUUCACAUGGAUUCCCAAUACUGCGGAACCGCCAUCUACCCCUCGCUUCCAGUCCAGCAACUGACCACGUUCACCCGACAACACCAACACUGUAUUUCUAGAUGGGGCGGUAAGGAUAGCGAUGGAUGGAUGGAAGAUUGAUGAUGGACGGAUGGAGAAUGGAUCCAGGGUGGGUGGGUAGAUGAUGGAUGAAGGACAGAUGAAAAGAUGAUGAGUCGAUGGAUGGAGAAUGGACAGAUUGUUGGAGGAUGGAUGGAUGAUCGUUAAUGUUAACGGGUGGAUAGAGAUAACUGGAUGGAUGCAGGAUGGAUGGAUGGAUGGAUAUAUGGAGGAAUAGCUGAUGGAUAGAGAGAAGAAUAUAUGUUGGAGGGAUGGAUAGAUAGAUGUACGGAAAACUAGAUGACGGGUGGGUGAAAGAAUAGAUAUAUGGAUGAAUAGAUGGUGGAUGGAUGGAUAGCGAGCUGGAUAGAUUUCAUCACAUAUUAACAGCCUUACAUGCAACGACAUGAGUCUAUUUGAAUAAUUUAUUGGCAUUCGCAGCUUGCUCCACUACUGCAUCCAUCAGCCACAAAAGCUUUUCGAGUCCGUUAAUGGAGCUCUUUACCAGCUCGCUCGGCUGUUUUGCUGACUAAUGUUCUCUUAAAUAAAUAAGCAGGUCGCAGGAAAUACACAAAAACUUGGCAUCGCAGAAAAUGCCUACAUUUCAAUCCUCUGGUGCAAUCUCAUAUUCAUAAAAAAGUGUUUAAGAAAUGCCCAGAUCUUUCCUUUGGAUAUAAAAAUCAAUAGCAAUAGCACAACUUCCAGACAGAAUUAAUUAUCUCCAGUGCGCAUGGUUCCAAACUGCUGAUCUCAUUUUGACAUAAUAAAGGAUUGCUUUAUUUUG